rnacentral:misc_RNA from 1 species
GAUGAAGGACGUAGCGAAAUGCGAUAAGUAGUGUGAAUUGCAGAAUUCAGUGAAUCAUCGAAUCUUUGAACGCACAUUGCGCCCGCCAGUAUUCUGGCGGGCAUGCCUGUUCGAGCGUCAUUACAACCCUCAGGCCCCCGGGCCUGGCGUUGGGGAUCGGCGGAAGCCCCCUGCGGGCACAACGCCGUCCCCCAAAUACAGUGGCGGUCCCGCCGCAGCUUCCAUUGCGUAGUAGCUAACACCUCGCAACUGGNGNGCGGCGCGGCCACGCCGUAAAACACCCAACUUCUGAAUGUUGACCUCGAAUCAGGUAGGAAUACCCGCUGAACUUAAGCAUAUCAAUAAGCGGAGGA